rnacentral:rRNA from 1 species
UACGGAGGGUGCGAGCGUUGUCCGGAUUUAUUGGGUUUAAAGGGUGCGCAGGCGGUAAAGUAAGUCUGGGGUGAAAGGCGGCCGCUCAACGGUCAGUAGGGCCCCGGAUACUGUUUUACUCGAGUGCAGGCGAGGCCGGCGGAACGGGUGGUGUAGCGGUGAAAUGCAUAGAUACCAUCCAGAACUCCGAUUGCGAAGGCAGCCGGCCAGACUGCCACUGACGCUGAGGCACGAAAGCGCGGGGAGCAAACAGG